AUGGCUUUGCUUUGCAUCAUGCCUAGGACAUCAAUGUCACUGUAUUGUCUUUUGAUCUUGGAGGCUUAUCAAAAAGUGGAUUGCUUACUCAUGACCAACUUGGUGCUACAUGCUGAACAAAAUAAUGCACAUGUUAUGUUCUACAAGUCUACUUUCACGUCUGCAACAGUAAUGAUUUCAUAG